UUACAGGCGUGAGCCACCGCACCCGCCUGGCUGCCUCUGUUUUCUUCUCACCUGUGACGUCUCUUCAUCUUCCGAGGCAUCAUGCAUGUCUGGCCCCUCGGGCCUCUCCAAAGCCCUUCCCCUGGAGGCCCACGGCGGCCAGAUCCACACCUGUGUCCUCUGUGCUCACCCCACUCCCUGGAAAGAUGCCCCACCUCACCUCCACGCUAUGCUCUCCAGGGCUUAACCCCACCCACAGGCGGCCCUGAACCUGCCUGGCUCCUCCCUCUGUGGAAUUUUCCAGCUUGAAGUAUCAGGGUGAGCCCCGGAAGCUGGCACAACCGUCCCCCAGCUCAUACAGCCAGGGCUGUGGACCCACAGCUGCAGUACCUGAGCUCAAACUCUGCGAACAGGACGUCGAAGUGCCUCAGCGCUUCCCUCAUCUUCUCUGUCACAGGCCAGCUCGUGUUCCCGGUCCCCGCAGGAGGUUUUUCUUACAUUCAGAGCAAUCGUGAGGGCGAUAACCGAUGUCCCCCAAUGUGACCCACGGGGUCCUCACAGGGCCCCAGGAGCAGGGAGGGCAGGGCAUGGCAGGGCAGGCCACAGGGAUGAAGUUCAAGGAGCUUGGAGCUUCCAGGCUCCACAAUCAGGUCUGUGCUCCCAGGGAUGAAGCAGCCGGGCUGAUCCGGGCCCGAGGUCCCCAGCCUAUCUAGGGAGCCACAGACACCACCUGUCAAGUUGCUCACUGCCAGAGAAACGCAACCUUCCCCGGAACGCAGACUCAUCAGUGUGAGAGUCCCUGGGCUCCUGGGCAGGGAUGAUCAAGUGAUGCAGGACAAGAAGCCAUUUCCCAGGUGACAGAAUGAGACGGCGCUGAUCGCCCAGGCCCAAGCUGCAGGUGGGCACAGAGCUUGGGGCACCAGGACCACACAAGGAGCUGUGCCCACCCCUGUGCAUGCAUGCCCCUGCCAGGCCAGCCGGGCACAGAACACGCUCCAUCUCAUGACUGCCCCAGGACCCACUCCACGGAGGUGGAAACUGAGGCUGGGGAGGAGGGAGAACCUGCCCGCGGGCCCCUGUAACUAACCCAAGCCUCGGCAGAGGACACCCCAACCAGGUGGCUCAGAAGGUGGGGUGGGCAGGGUGGACACAGGGACGGGGCAGCGUGGGAUGAAGACUCCGCACCCCAGGGAUUCCUAGAAAGGGGAGGCGGGCAGGAUGGGGACGGCACAAUAGAGAGGGUGGCGGUGUCGGGGCUGAGGUCAGGCUCGGGAGCACGGCAAGGGGAGGAGGCUGGGGAGUCCGCAUGGUGGGGGCCUGGGGGAGACUGUUCCCGCCACCUUGAAGGGCACCUUCCUCUCGGUGCCUCAGUUUCCUGAUUGGGAGAUGAAGAUGAAGAUGACAGGCUAUUGCCACAUGUGGCCUGCGUGGGGCUGCAGCACGGCUCCCCAGCCCCUGCUGCUGCCCAUGCUGCAGGGCCGGAGGGGAACACUUGUUCCUGAUGUGGGCAUUACUGCCAUUAAAAACCACUUUUAGGUCCUGGCUGUCUGGGGGCCUGUGAACCUCAUAAAAACCACAUGGGAAAUUUCAUUUGUAUGUAUAGUUUUGGGGGCACCAGUUCAUGGCUUUCCCAGAUCCUCCAGGGGUGCACGGCCUACCAGGCUCAGACCACACCACGUAACCCAGAGUGGACGGAGCUCUUGGAGGAGACACCAGGUCCCGGC
rnacentral:lncRNA from 1 species